AGAGUUUGAUCCUGGCUCAGGAUGAACGCUAGCUACAGGCUUAACACAUGCAAGUCGAGGGGCAGCAUGAACUUAGCUUGCUAAGUUUGAUGGCGACCGGCGCACGGGUGAGUAACACGUAUCCAACCUGCCGAUGACUCGGGGAUAGCCUUUCGAAAGAAAGAUUAAUACCCGAUGGCAUAGUUCUUCCGCAUGGUAGAACUAUUAAAGAAUUUCGGUCAUCGAUGGGGAUGCGUUCCAUUAGGUUGUUGGCGGGGUAACGGCCCACCAAGCCUUCGAUGGAUAGGGGUUCUGAGAGGAAGGUCCCCCACAUUGGAACUGAGACACGGUCCAAACUCCUACGGGAGGCAGCAGUGAGGAAUAUUGGUCAAUGGACGAGAGUCUGAACCAGCCAAGUAGCGUGAAGGAUGACUGCCCUAUGGGUUGUAAACUUCUUUUAUACGGGAAUAAAGUGAGGCACGCGUGCCUUUUUGUAUGUACCGUAUGAAUAAGGAUCGGCUAACUCCGUGCCAGCAGCCGCGGU
rnacentral:rRNA from 1 species